rnacentral:sRNA from 12 species
AACCUGUAUCUUGAACUGUCACCGGAUGGUGGCGUGGCUAGGACAUCUAGCAUAGAGACAUGGUUGGAA